GGAAAAGGGCCUUAGCUGUUCAUGGAGCUCAGUUCAUUCUGCCUGCCUGCCAGGCUGCCAUGGAGGUCGAUGCGGCAGAGAUCGCCGGCCGGCGCCUCCCGCGCUCUCCGGCGCCGUGCUCCUCGGCCCCGACGGAGGCGGUCCUCCCUCCCUCUCCCUCAGCGGCCACCUUCUUCCACCGCUACCCGCUUCCCCCCUUCUGCUAUCCGGGUCCUCCAUUCUGGAGCUGUCUAGCCCGAAGUCUCGAGUCCCGACAUCACCAGCUAGAGAAACUAUCUUCUCUUUGAUGAGCUCCUGGAAGCCAGAAAGGCCAUGCUUCUCCCGCAGCGUGUUGAACAGAUCCUUCCCCAGCACCUGCAGGGGAUAUUAAGACCGAUCGAACAAAUGAAUACAGAAGGAGGUGAGGAAUUAUCAAGUAUACACGCAAGGCUGCAACCUGCUCAUAUGAGGCAUGACAUUUGUAUCUGCGGACUGCGUUUGUCUGAGGCAGUGACAUGGUUUCGACUUACUUGGCAUAUGAUACGUUGCUCCGCGGAGGCAUCAUCUGGGGCACGGACCAGCAGGUAGAUCUUCUUCACGUCUGGCUGUACCCUCAGUAUCUUUUCAAGCAGCACUGCGUGUAUAUAAGCCAACUAAUCAAUGGGCAUCUUCAUCGAUAGGCCGCGUAGUUAUGUCGGCCGAAAAAUAUACACCGUAUGUAUUUGAUUUACAGUAUAUGUACAUAGAAUGCAAGGCAAAGAAUUGAUGUA